rnacentral:rRNA from 1 species
UACGUAGGGUGCAAGCGUUGUCCGUAUUUAUUGGGUUUAAAGGGUGCGUAGGCGUCCUAUUAAGUUAGUGGUAAAAACGUUCGGCUUAACCGGAUACCCGCCAUUGAUACUGAUAGACUUGAGUGCGACAGAGGGUGUUGGAAUGUGUGGUGUAGCGGUGAAAUGCUUAGAUAUCACGCAGAACUCCAAUUGCGAAGGCAGAUGCCUAUGUCGUAACUGACGCUGAGGCACGAAAGCGUGGGGAGCAAACAGG